rnacentral:tRNA from 2 species
GCCCCUGUAGCUCAGCUGGAUAGAGCAGCGGCCUUCUAAUCCGCAGGUCCUUGGUUCGAAUCCAAGCGGGGGCG